CUAUUAGAGUUGACCAAUAUAGUCAUUGUUAGGAGGUUAGGGCAAUUAAGGUAGGUAGUUUUUCUCUAUAGAUACAAGUUCAUUUUGAUAGAAAGUAACCUGAGAAAUUGUGUAGUUGAUGUGAUUGGUUAGAUACACAUUUGUUGAAUUUUAUUAUUGUUAUGGUCUUUGGUGUGAGAGAAGAUUCUGUUCAUGUGAUUUCAAGCAUGUAUGCUAUUUAUUAGGUUAUGCAAAGUUGUUUUAGAUGCAUUAGGAGAAUGUCUUCAUUCAUUCUUAUCAUAUUGUACUUCACUUUUUCUCUCUCAGUUUGACUGAGAAAAGAGUUUCAUCCUUCUCUUCUCAUUUUUAUAGAAAUAUUAAAGAAGAAUGUAAUAUGAUUCUGUCAUAUUCUCCUAUUGUUUUCUUUAAUUUCAGCUCCCUCUUUGUAAUUUUAUUCAAUUUCUUGAAAUUUCAUCAUGUUUUGGUGCUUCGGGAGCCAUUCAUAAAUGACUUUGUGAUUCCCACAAUUUCAUUGAUUUAUUGCUAGAAUCAUGUAAUUUUGAUAUGAAUGUAGUUUAUAUGUUCAAUUUCAUUUAUGAAUAAUGUAGUUCCUUCAUAUCAUCAUAUGUUUUACUAUCUAUCUGUUCAAAAUCAGUUCUUUUAUAUAUCCUAUGUUUUUCUUGAUAAUCGUGGUUGGAUUAGGCUUAUUGUUAUAAGGUUGUUGGUUUUGCACAUUGUCAUGCUGAUAUCAUUAGUAUAUAUGUAUUGUGGUGUUUAGCGUAUAAGCUUCUUAAUUAAUUCAGUUUCUCAUUUUAUAGUUCAUUGGUCAGUUUUGAGUGGUAAUUAGAUAAAUUUGGUGUUCUUUUAUUCUUAGUAAUUUGGAACUAAUAGCUGCGAUGGGAGUUGAUUUUUGUCAAAGUGCUCAUCAAAUUAUAGUUAAUUCAAUUUCUCAUUUUAUACUUCAUUGAUUAGUUUUGAGUGGUAAUUAGACAAAUUUAGUGGUUCUUUUUUAGUAAUUUAGAUCUAAUAGUUGUGAUGGGAGUUAGUUUUUGUUAAAGUGCUCAUCAAAUCAUAGUAUGUAUAGAUUGUUUCUCAAUCAGUUCUAGGGAGGUGAGGUUGUAUUUUUAUUAUUAUAUGUUUCAAAUUGUUAAAAAUAUAAUGUGAAUUCCAUUCUUCUGAAGUUGUGAUGGGAUGUUAGUUUGAAUGAUGUUAUUUGUGAUCUCAUCUCAUUCUUUUAUACAUGAUUCUGAUGUCAGUCAAAGUUGUUGCUUUCUCAUUUUAUUUUGUCAGUUUCGAAGUUAUGAUGGGAUGUUGGUUUUUGAAUUUUUCUUCAAAAACAAAAAAUGGAUUGGAUGUGUGGUUAGGUGGGGAAAGUGAUUCUCUUUCCUGUUUUUCUGAGUACCCUCACAUGAAAAAUCAGAUUUUGGUGGUUUGAUGGGAGAAAUGACAUCAUCUUCUAUAACAAAUAGUACUAUCUUCUAUUAUUCUAUCAAAAAAGUUAUUUGGUCAAUGAGAGUAGGUAUUGUUACUUGUGACUAACUCCCCUUUGUCAUUUAUUGCAAAUCAAUCGCAUUAGCAAGUACUUUUAUGGCCUCUCUGGUGAUAGAUUUUCUUUCAAAAAGGAAAAACCUUCCCUUUCUACAAAUCACGUCAGAUCUCCUGCUCUUCAUUCUUCGGAUGGAUGAUUAUCUGCCUUCUGCACAUUCGAUUGAGGAAUCAAUUAUUUUGCAAGAUACUCCAAUUAUUAAUGCCAAUUUCAUAUUAUCAGAUGACUCUGAAAUACAUGAUCCUACUGUAAAUUCUUGGAAUGAGCUUCGGUCUCCUAUUGAUCAUCCACUUUUUUCACAAAGUGAAAUUCAAGGUUGUCUCGAUAUUGGUGAUCCUGUGUAUACUUGUCUAUAUUGUGGUGCGUCGUUUUGGUUACUAGAGCGGGUUGAAAAAUGGUCAAGAAUUAAUCAGCCUCUUUUUGCACUUUGUUGUUUUCAAGGAAAAAUUCAAUUACCGUAUCUUCAGAAAGCUCCAAAUUUAUUAUAUAUUUUGAUUCAUGGUCAUGAUAGUAAGUCUUUACUGUUUCAGAAGAAAAUUCGGUAUUAUAAUAGUAUGUUUGCUUUCACUUCUUUUGGUGGUAAAGUAAUAGACUCAGUGAAUGAUGGAACUGGCCCACCACAAUUCAUCAUAAGUGGCCAAAAUUAUCAUAGGAUUGAAAGUUUAUUACCUCAGGCUGGUCAAGUUCCAAAAUUUGUCCAAUUAUACAUAUAUGACACAGAACAUGAGUUAACGCAUAGAGAAGGAAUAUUUGGGCAAAGUUUAAAUAUAGAUAGACAGUUGAUAAUUGAUUUGACCCAAAUGAUUGAUCAACACAAUCCCAUAGCACAAUCAUUUAGAAGAGUGAGAGAAUUCCAUGAGAAUCACCCGUCUGAGGUGUUUUCUUUGAAAUUGUUUAGUCAAAGAGAACGUGAUCGAAGAGUUUAUAAUUAUCCUUCGUGCGAUGAAGUUGCUGCUUUGGUUGUUGGUGAUUUUGAUUCUUCUGAUACUGGUCGUGAUGUCAUUGUUAAAUCUGUAGCUGGCCAACUUCAAAGAAUAUAUGAGACACAUGCUUUAUACUGGCCAUUGUAAUAUCCCUUGCUUUUUCCUUACGGGGAAGAUGGUUAUCAAUUGGGUAUUCCUUAUCGAGAUAUUCAAGAUAUAAAUGUUGCAGGGAGAAGGACUAGAGUGUCUGUGCGAGAAUUUAUCUGUUUUCGUUUGCAAAUGAGAGAGCAUGAUGAUAGCAUUAUUCAUAAGUCUAGAAGAUUGUUCCAACAGUUUGUUGUUGAUUCAUUCUCUAUGAUUGAGUCACAGAGGCUUUAUGAAAUCAGGAAAAAACAGAGCACAAUUAGAGGAGAAGUCUUACAAGGUAUUGAAGAAGCUAUGCGAUGCGGUGAUACUGAAGCAUCAUCAAUUGGUACUCGAGUGAUUUUGCCUUCUUCCUUCACUGGUGGUAAACGUUACAUGUUUAAUAAUUGCCAAGAUGCUAUGGCUAUUUGUAAACAUUUUGGGUAUCCAGAUCUAUUUCUUACCCUUACUUGCAAUCCAAACUGGCCUGAGUUUCAAAGAUAUACUAAUCGUGAUCAAGUUCCAAUUGCUAAUCGGCCAGACAUUGCUUGCCGAGUCUUUCAUGCUAAUAUGAAGUGUCUUCUUAAUGAUCUUAAGAAUGGUGUUUUUUUUGGUCCUCUUAAUGCAGGUAUGUAUACAAUUGAGUUUCAAAAAAGAGGUUUGUCACAUGCACAUAUUCUACUUUGGCUUGAUGGAAGGAAUAGAUUGCAGAAUAUUAAAAUUGUUGAUGAGUUGAUUUGUGCAGAACUUUCUAAUCCUAUGAAGUUUCCACAUUUGUAUAGUGUGGUUAGUAAAUACAUGAUUCAUAGCCCUUGUGGUAGGGUAAGACCAACUUCUCCAUGCAUGAAAGAUGGAAGAUGAUCCAAGUUUUAUCCGAAGCAGUUUGUUAAUUAUACGAGUUUUGAUGAAGAUGGUUAUCCUAUUUACAAGCGUCGAGAUAUUGGUGUUACAGUUAAAAGUCAUGGUGUUGAUCUUGAUAAUAGAUUUGUUGUUCCAUAUAAUCCAUUAUUGUUGAUGAAGUACCAGGCUCAUAUCAAUUUGGAAUUUUGCAACAAGUCAAAUGUUAUAAAGUAUCUUUUCAAGUACAUUAACAAGGGUCCAGAUCGUGUAAUUGCAACCAUUAGUCAUUCAACUGAGACAACUCAUUCUUUUGAAGUGGUUGAUGAGAUCAAACAGUAUUAUGAUUGUCGGUAUCUUUCACCUUGUGAAUCAAUGUGGAAAACUUUUGCAUAUGAAAUUCAUCAUAGAUGGCCACCUAUGCAAAGACUCACAUUUCAUUUACCUAAUCAGCAGCAUGUUGUGUUCGAUGAUCAUGAUACUAUUGGCUCUGUUUUAAUAAGAAAUAGAGAUUUGAUG